CUAACCAUACUCUAGUUUUAGAGUUCUAUGCUAAUGCUUUACAAACCAACUUUGGAGAGGCCGAACUAAUACCGUCCGAGGCAAAAUGGAGCUAAAAGAGAGAAUUAGUGAUUGGCAGCACGUUACUCUCCACAAAAACUGUCAAAAGACAUGCGAACUCAGAAGCUUGGUCGACAAAAGACCACCAUCAUGGUCAAAUCAAGAUGCAAAUGUGGAGAAACAGUCAACAAAUAUCUGCGAACACGGAACCUCAUCCGUUAACAUAGAGUACAACAUGAUCCUGAUCCACUAACGCGGACAUACAUUCGCGAACACGGAGAAGAAAACCUGUCAGGCGCCAGGGACAAAUCUGGAACUUCAUAAUUAAAUGCAAAUUCACACUAUACAAUCAUACACAACCAUUUUUGUAGGAUAACACUGAGGGGGGGCUGAAUACACCUUGAAGAGAACUCCAUAGCUUGGUCUUAGGUUUUCAUAGCAAGUUUUCUACAAUUUUCUAUUGGAUUGGAGAUUGAAAUCUUAAUUGUAACUAUUUUUAUCCUUUCUUCAUUUCUUUGCUUUGUAUUGAAUGAAUUUUAGGUGUAAUUAUGACAAAAGAAUUGGGGUUUUGUUUUGGUAGAAAUAGACAAUUUAUUGGGCUGUA